CCUACGGGUGGCAGCAGUGGGGAAUAUUGCACAAUGGGGGAAACCCUGAUGCAGCGACGCCGCGUGAGUGAAGAAGUAUUUCGGUAUGUAAAGCUCUAUCAGCAGGGAAGAAAAUGACGGUACGUGAUUCAUAAGCCCCGGCUAACUACGUUCCAGCAGCCGCGGUAAUACGUAGGGGGCAAGCGUUAUCCGGAUUUACUGGGUGUAAAGGGAGCGUAGACGGCAGCACAAGUCUGGAGUGAAAUGGCGGGGCUUAACCCCGAAACUGCGUUGGAAACUGUGAAGGUAGAGUGCAGGUGAGGUAAGUGGAAUUCCUAGUGUAGCGGUGAAAUGCGUAGAUAUUAGGAGGAACACCAGUGGCGAAGGCGGCUUACUGGACUGUAACUGACGUUGAGGCUCGAAAGCGUGGGUAGCAAACAGGAUUAGAUACCCCAGUAGUC
rnacentral:rRNA from 1 species